GCCGGAGUAGCUCAGCCUGGUAGAGCGAUUGCCUUGUAAGCAGUAGGCCGUGGGUUCAAAUCCCAUCCCCGGCU
rnacentral:tRNA from 1 species